CAAGUCAAGGCGGCUGCGAACCGGGCCGGGGGGGGGCACGGCGCCCAUCAGGAGCGCCACCCACUCCCAGGCCAGGCCACCCCGCGGACCGGGCCCUCCACGCGCCCAGGCGAGGCACUGGGCUCCCUCUGCUCCCCGUGGGCCGCUCCCCGCGUGGGGCCACUGCCCUUGGCCCCCUGCCAUGGUGCGGAUUUCAAAGCCCAAGACGUUUCAGGCCUACUUGGAUGAUUGUCACCGGAGGUACAGCUGUGCCCACUGCCGUGCUCACCUGGCCAACCACGACGACCUCAUCUCCAAGGGUGAAUGUGGGUUGUGGGCCAGCAAAAGAGCGGGUGCUGCUGACAGGUCUUCAUGCUGUCGCUGACAUCCACUGCGAGAACUGCAAGACCACUCUGGGCUGGAAAUAUGAGCAAGCCUUUGAGAGCAGCCAGAAAUACAAGGAGGGGAAGUACAUCAUUGAACUCAAUCACAUGAUCAAAGACAACGGCUGGGACUGACCUAGCUCCUGACGCAUGUGGCUUCAGCCUGGCCUGGCCGCCAGGGGGAGCCACUGGUUUCGCUCCUCCUGAAGGGAGCUCUGGACCCUCAGGGCCCCCACAGGGGAAGGAUCCAGCUCCUGUACAUAUAUUUUAUUGCAUGCACUGUGACCUUGGGGGGAGACAAGGAGGGGGAUUGUAACCCCCGGCACCUCCCUGCGAUCUGGCUGGCUUGGAUCUCAUUUUUUUUAACCCCUUCCUGUCUUGCCUGUCCCAUAGAUAUGGCCUGUGUGCUGCUCUCAUGGCCCCGGUGCACCAUCUUUCUGUGAAUCCCUCCCUCUGGAUCCCUCUUACCCGCAGCGUGUCUGUUCUCGUUCUGUAGCGUUUGUAAAUAAUAAAACAAUGGAAUGGA